rnacentral:tRNA from 1 species
GUUUAGGUAGUUUAUUUAGAAUAUCAAUUUGUGGAAUUGAAGGUAUAUAAAAAUAUUUUAGACU